AAGUUUGAUAAAGCACAUGCAAUACCGUCUAUGAUUGGUCGAUCAUAGAGUUAGAAAGAUAUAAAUAUGGAAUUUUUAUUUCUCCGGAACAGAAAUCAUCACUGAACUCACUGCGUGUUUUUAGAUUUAUAAAAUUAAUAAAUAAACUCUGGGGAAACUGAAUUUUAAUACACAGACGUGCGCUUAACACAGCUCUAGAAGAGAUCAGAUUCCAGCGAACAGACGCAUCGCGGAGACGAUACGCUUCAUAAUGGUGGAUACAAGGGGCCUGGCUCUGGUGGUUCUGCUCGUAUCAAGAUGCGUUGUCCAUGCGAUUCCUAUUCCAACGGAUGAGGCGGAAUACGUGACAAACGCGCCCGCCGGAAACGGUCUGACGAUAGCAACAGGCGACGCGUUUACAAACUGGCUGAAUACCGACGACGGCGAUAAAAUUGGUAUUCCAAAUUUCGUUCGUUUGGCACCCGACAUCAGAGGCUUUCCGAAUGAAUUUGAAUUUGGCGACGAUAGUGGAUCCGCUGCUGCAUACAGCAACCCGUCAAAACGAGAAUUUCCGAGCGCGGGCGAGUGGAGGAGAUUCCUAACCGGAAGUGGCCCGAAUAAGGUUGAAAUUGUGGCUCUGGGGAAACGAAUUCCCCACAACUGCGAACUGGCGAAUAUGACCUUAAGAAUGUUGAUGAAAUACUUUAGCAUAGGCUUAGUCUGCGGCGUGAGGGUCAGAGUAAUUCGUCCUGGGAGAAUGGCCGGGAAGUGAGGAGUUUGAACAUUUGGAGCAUUGUGAUGCAACGGUAAAAAGGCACAAACGCAUUUUUCUUGUACGCGUUUGAUCUUGAUCAAGACACUCGAAUUUGUCAUAAAUUUAAACAAUGUAUAGUUUUGUAUAAAACUCGUAAUAUCAACUUAAACACGACAACUCGAAUAAAAAAAAUAUUGCACCUUU